rnacentral:lncRNA from 1 species
GGAAUUUAAGCAGGAUUCCCCCUCCUCCUUCACCUCCUUAACAGCAACUGGAAUGGAUUGAAAAGCAUCUGCCACUGCUGAAGACAGGAUAUUGGGCUAAACAGAUGUGUGCUCCCAACUCCCAGCAGUUCCCAUGUUCCUCCCAGCACCAGGAACUGGCGUUGCCUCAUUGCAAGCUUCUAUUUGCUUUCAAUUAUCAGAAGAUAGAAAUGGGCUUCAGAGCUAAACUACUGCAAUACCUUGAGCCCCG